rnacentral:rRNA from 1 species
UACGAAGGGGGCUAGCGUUGCUCGGAAUCACUGGGCGUAAAGGGUGCGUAGGCGGGUCUUUUAAGUCAGGGGUGAAAUCCUGGAGCUCAACUCCAGAACUGCCUUUGAUACUGAAGAUCUUGAGUUCGGGGAGAGGUGAGUGGAACUGCGAGUGUAGAGGUGAAAUUCGUAGAUAUUCGCAAGAACACCAGUGGCGAAGGCGGCUCACUGGCCCGAUACUGACGCUGAGGCACGAAAGCGUGGGGAG